CCUUUCGGGAGUCCCGGAUGUAUUCUUCGGGAUACAUUCAGGACCGAACUUGAUCGGGUGGCCGAUAAUGACGGGACGGUAUUUGACAAUGACGACGCGCACGCGUUUACAACGCGUCCGGCCCGACGCAAGACAACGUCGCCUAUCUUAUUCCUGCCUGUGUGCGGACUAGGGUGCGGCGCGUCUGUUGUCGCUGCCGUGUCGUCUCGGACUUGUGCGCGUCGUUUCACUUUAUGUGUAUGUCUGCGAUGAUUC
rnacentral:rRNA from 1 species